rnacentral:rRNA from 1 species
UCGAACGAAGCGCCUGCGGCGGACCCCUCCGGGGGAAAGCCGCAGGGGACUGAGUGGCGGACGGGUGAGCAACGCGUGGGCAACCUGCCCCGUACCGGGGGACAACAGCCGGAAACGGCUGCUAAUACCGCAUAUUCCCGCGGGGCCGCAUGGCCCUGCGGGGAAAGCUCCGGCAGUACGGGAUGGGCCCGCGUCUGAUUAGCUUGUUGGCGGGGUAACGGCCCACCAAGGCUGCGAUCAGUAGCCGGCCUGAGAGGGCGGCCGGCCACAUUGGGACUGAGACACGGCCCAGACUCCUGCGGGAGGCAGCAGUGGGGGAUAUUGCACAAUGGGGGGAACCCUGAUGCAGCGACGCCGCGUGAACGAAGAAAUAUUUCGGUAUGUAAAGUUCUGUCAGCAGGGAAGAAAAUGACAGUACCUGACCAAGAAGCCCCGGCUAACUACGUGCCAGCAGCCGCGGUAAUACGUAGGGGGCGAGCGUUAUCCGGAUUCACUGGGCGUAAAGGGAGCGCAGGCGGCACGGCAAGUCCGGUGUGAAAGCCCGGGGCCCAACCCCGGGACUGCACUGGAAACUGCCGGGCUGGAGUGUCGGAGGGGCAGGCGGAAUUCCUAGUGUAGCGGUGAAAUGCGUAGAUAUUUUGAGGAACACCGGUGGCGAAGGCGGCCUGCUGGACGACGACUGACGCUGAGGCUCGAA